rnacentral:rRNA from 1 species
UACGGAGGGUGCAAACGUUGCUCGGAAUCAUUGGGCGUAAAGCGCACGUAGGCGGCCUGUUAAGUCGGGUGUGAAAGCCCUGGGCUCAACCCAGGAAGUGCACUCGAAACUGGCGGGCUUGAAUAUGGAAGAGGGUCGCGGAAUUCCCGGUGGAGCGGUGAAAUGCGUAGAGAUCGGAAAGAACACCAACGGCGAAAGCACUCUGCUGGGCCGACACUGACACUGAGAGACGAAAGCUAGGGGAGCGAAUGGG